UACGAAGGGGGCUAGCGUUGCUCGGAAUCACUGGGCGUAAAGCGCACGUAGGCGGAUUGCUAAGUCAGGGGUGAAAUCCUGGAGCUCAACUCCAGAACUGCCUUUGAUACUGGCGACCUUGAGUCCGGGAGAGGUGAGUGGAACUGCGAGUGUAGAGGUGAAAUUCGUAGAUAUUCGCAAGAACACCAGUGGCGAAGGCGGCUCACUGGCCCGGUACUGACGCUGAGGUGCGGAAAGCGUGGGGAGCAAACAGG
rnacentral:rRNA from 1 species